rnacentral:rRNA from 1 species
GUGAGGAAUAUUGCGCAAUGGACGAAAGUCUGACGCAGCCAUGCCGCGUGAAGGAUUGACGGCCCUAUGGGUUGUAAACUUCUUUUGUAUAGGAAUAAACCCUCGUUCGUGAACGAGGCUGAAGGUACUAUAAGAAUAAGCACCGGCUAACUCCGUGCCAGCAGCCGCGGUAAUACGGAGGGUGCAAGCGUUAUCCGGAUUUAUUGGGUUUAAAGGGUCCGUAGGCGGAUCGUUAAGUCAGUGGUGAAAUCCUACCGCUCAACGGUAGAACUGCCAAUGAUACUGGCGAUCUUGAGUAUGUAUGAAGUUGGCGGAAUGUGUGGUGUAGCGGUGAAAUGCUUAGAGAUCACACAGAACACCGAUUGCGAAGGCAGCUGACUAAUACACAACUGACGCUGAGGGACGAAAGUGUGGGGAUCAAACAGGAUUAGAAACCCUUGUAGUCC